rnacentral:rRNA from 1 species
UACGGAGGAUCCAAGCGUUAUCCGGAUUUAUUGGGUUUAAAGGGUGCGUAGGCGGCUUAUUAAGUCAGGGGUGAAAGACGGUAGCUUAACUAUCGCAGUGCCUUUGAUACUGAUGAGCUUGAAUGUAGUUGAGGUAGGCGGAAUGUGACAAGUAGCGGUGAAAUGCAUAGAUAUGUCACAGAACACCAAUUGCGAAGGCAGCUUACUAAAGUAUGAUUGACGCUGAGGCACGAAAGCGUGGGGAUCAAACAGG